CGUUAUUAAUCCACGACGGACCCGACACGCGAGGAACAUACAUUACUCUCCUCACUGGAGACAGGACAGCUUAGUUGAUAUUGUUGAACUGUUUGGAGUAACUCCGUUAUUAAAAAGAAAGUCAAAAGCUUUAGCUCGACUUUAGUGGAGUCACCAUUUUAUUUGAUUGAGGUUUUUAGACAGUAGCUGUAAGUUGCAUCAGCCGCAGUGAAAGGGCCCCGUCGCGUGAUUGUUCAGAAAGUCAAUAUGGCGGGUGACGACUCGGGUACGACGCUGCGUCAGCCUCACUUGGCCAAACAAGACCUCACAACUCUGGACGUGUCGAAACUGACGACUCUGUCCCCCGAGAUCAUCAGCAGACAGGCCACCAUCAACAUCGGCACCAUCGGCCACGUGGCGCACGGGAAGUCCACGGUGGUGAAGGCCAUCUCGGGCGUUCACACCGUCCGCUUCAAAAACGAGCUGGAGAGAAACAUCACCAUCAAGCUCGGAUACGCUAACGCCAAGAUCUACAUGCUGGACGAGCCCAGCUGCCCUCGACCCGAAUGCUACCGCUCGUGCGGGAGUAGCACCCCCGACGAGUUCCCCACAGAUAUCCCCGGCACCAAAGGCGACUUCAAACUUGUCAGACACGUGUCCUUCGUGGACUGUCCCGGUCACGACAUUCUGAUGGCCACCAUGUUGAACGGAGCCGCCGUCAUGGACGCCGCCCUCCUCCUCAUCGCGGGCAACGAGUCAUGUCCUCAGCCGCAAACGUCUGAGCAUCUGGCCGCCAUCGAGAUCAUGAAGCUCAAGCACAUCCUCAUCCUGCAGAACAAGAUCGACCUGGUGAAGGAGAGCCAGGCCAAAGAACAGUAUGAGCAGAUCCUCACCUUCGUGCAGGGCACGGUGGCCGAGGGCGCGCCCAUCAUUCCCAUCUCGGCGCAACUCAAGUACAACAUCGAGGUGGUGUGCGAGUACAUCGUCAAGAAGAUCCCCGUCCCCGUGCGAGACUUCGCCUCAGAGCCCAGGCUCAUUGUCAUCAGGUCGUUUGACGUCAACAAGCCCGGCUGUGAAGUAGACGACCUGAAGGGCGGCGUGGCGGGAGGGAGUAUCCUCAAGGGCGUCCUCAAGGUGGGCCAGGAGAUCGAGGUGCGGCCGGGCAUCGUGUCCAAGGACCACGAGGGGAAGCUCAUGUGCAAACCCAUCUUCUCCAAGAUCGUCUCCCUGUUUGCCGAACACAACGACCUUCAGUACGCCGCGCCCGGAGGCCUGAUCGGCGUGGGCACCAAGAUCGACCCGACGCUGUGCCGAGCCGACCGCAUGGUGGGUCAGGUGCUGGGCGCCGUCGGGGAGCUGCCCGAGAUCUUCACCGAGCUGGAGAUCUCCUACUUCCUGCUGCGCAGGCUCCUGGGCGUGCGCACGGAGGGAGACAAGAAGGCCGCCAAGGUCCAGAAGCUGUCCAAGAACGAAGUGUUGAUGGUGAACAUCGGCUCGCUGUCGACGGGGGGCCGCGUCAGCGCCGUCAAAGCCGAUCUGGCCAAGAUCGUGCUCACCAACCCCGUCUGCACCGAAGUCGGCGAGAAGAUCGCGCUCAGUCGCCGAGUGGAGAAACAUUGGCGUCUGAUUGGCUGGGGGCAGAUCAGGAGGGGCGUGACCAUCACGCCCACGGUGGACGACGACUGAGAGGAGAAGGCGGUGGGCCGUUGCCGUAGCAACGCUCUCGUCAGGCACGGCCCACGCCGGGCGUUUCCCGUAGACGCAUUUUGGACUUUGUUCAACAUCCUCGGCCGGCUGCGCUCUUCAGUGCAGCAAAAGGCUGAAAGCUGUGGACUGAAUGGGUGCCGACAAUGGGGCCGUGAAAUGCCAACCUUUUAAGGCGAAUGGCCCGUCAGCAGCAUACUGAGAAAAAAACCGAAAGGAAACAUGAACUAGUUCAUUUUUUGGAAAGGUGAACUGAACUUUGAACUGUGUGUAGACCCCAAAAAAAACUUCCUAACACUGGCUAGUUGUGUAACUUAAGACAGUUCUGCUUUGCAAUAGACAGAUUACAAUUUAUCUUCUUUUUUUAAGUGUGAAAUGAUCCAAACUUUGGACAUUCUCAAGUAUAAUGUUUUGUGUCUUUUAUCAAUAAGUAUAUCUUUUGUAUUUACCAACAAUGUGUUUUAUCAACCAGUACAUCUUUAAAUGUGUUUUAUCAACAACACAAACCUGUCGGAGGAAUCUUAAAGGUGGAAUCAACAUGGCCGACGUCAGAAGGCAUUUUUUUACGGGCUUACUCACUUCCGUGGACAUCUUCCGCGGAACAUUGCGUGCCUGACGGAAAACUGCGACUGAAUACGUUGCCGCUGCCGUAGAUGCGCAGAGUCCUCACUCUUCAGGAAAGAAAACAACAACAACACGUUUGUUGAGACAUUAACAGUGCAUGAUUCAAGACACCAAGCCAUUUUCAACACUUUACACAAGGGCAAUCAUUUGAAAUAAAAAUAACACACACACGUAGGGGUACUGAUUCAUUUAAAAAAAACAAAAAAACAUUUGGAGAUAGGAAGUUUCUGCCUGACGCCAGAGAUGAUACGGUGUCUUGUGAACAAACUGUGGCUAAAACGGAUGCCCCGCAAUUGCUUGUUAUUUCCUGAUGGACCUGUUGAAUCUCUGUAUUGUUUGUUCUUUCCAUUUUCAAUUGACAUUCAAAAGUAAAAAAAAUAAAAAAUCUAAACCUG